rnacentral:rRNA from 1 species
UACAGAGGUGGCAAGCGUUGUUCGGAAUUACUGGGCGUAAAGGGCGCGUAGGUGGCCUUCUUAGUCAGACGUGAAAUCCCCAGGCUUAACCUGGGAACUGCGUCUGAUACUGGAAGGCUCGAGUUCGGGAGAGGAAUGUGGAAUUCCAGGUGUAGCGGUGAAAUGCGUAGAUAUCUGGAGGAACAACGGUGGCGAAGGCGGCAUUCUGGACCGAAACUGACGCUGAGGCGCGAAAGCCAGGGGAGCAAACGGG